UUAAACGAAGCCAAAGAGAGGCCUAUCACUGUUAAUGAUAAAAAUGACACCGAGUCCGUUUAAG
rnacentral:tRNA from 1 species